GGCUCCCGUAGGAGCCCGGAUGAAACCCAGAAGGCGGUCGACCGUCGUAGAAACUUGGAUGGAGCCCGUCCGUCGUGGAGAUCUGCUGUUGGAAAAGUUUGGCCACUGACGAACUGACAUAGCUCUGGAAGAAAUUCGGAUUGGAGUCAAUCGAAUCCUAUCGAAAAAGAUCCGAAAGGGGUCCGAUGGAUGGUUGACCCUUGUAGGAGAUCGGCCGA
rnacentral:lncRNA from 1 species